GUGCUCACUUCAGCAGCACAUAUACUAAAAUAAGAAUAAUACAGAGAAGGUCAGUAUGGCCCCUGUGCAAAGAGUACACUCAAAUUUAUGAAGCAUCCCAUAUUUUU
rnacentral:snRNA from 1 species